CGCGUAGGUGGUAGUGUAAGUCUGGGGUGGAAUCCCAGGGCUUAACCCUGGAACUGCCUUGGAAACUGUAUUACUUGAGUCAGUGAGGGGGAGGGUAGAAUUCCUGGUGUAGCGGUGAAAUGCGUAGAUAUCAGGAGGAAGGCCUGUGGCGAAGGCGGCCCUCUGGCGCUGGACUGACACUGAGGCGCGAAAGCGUGGGGAGCAAACAGGAUUAGAUACCCUGGUAGUCCACGCCCUAAACGGUGGGCACUAGGUGUAGGGCUCGUAAGGGUUCUGUGCCGAAGGGAAACCAUUAAGUGCCCCGCCUGGGGAGUACGGCCGCAAGGUUGAA
rnacentral:rRNA from 1 species